GGGUUGUGAGGUUAAGCGACUAAGCGUACACGGUGGAUGCCCUGGCAGUCAGAGGCGAUGAAGGGCGUGCUAAUCUGCGAUAAGCGCCGGUAAGGUGAUAUGAACCGUUAUAACCGGCGAUACCCGAAUGGGGAAACCCAGUGUGACUCGUCACACUAUCAUUAACUGAAUCCAUAGGUUAAUGAGGCGAACCGGGGGAACUGAAACAUCUAAGUACCCCGAGGAAAAGAAAUCAACCGAGAUUCCCCCAGUAGCGGCGAGCGAACGGGGAGGAGCCCAGAGCCUGAAUCAGCAUGUGUGUUAGUGGAAGCGUCUGGAAAGGCGCGCGAUACAGGGUGACAGCCCCGUACACAAAAGCGCAUGUGCUGUGAGCUCGAUGAGUAGGGCGGGACACGUGGUAUCCUGUCUGAAUAUGGGGGGACCAUCCUCCAAGGCUAAAUACUCCUGACUGACCGAUAGUGAACCAGUACCGUGAGGGAAAGGCGAAAAGAACCCCGGCGAGGGGAGUGAAAAAGAACCUGAAACCGUGUACGUACAAGCAGUGGGAGCNNGUGACUGCGUACCUUUUGUAUAAUGGGUCAGCGACUUAUAUUCUGUAGCAAGGUUAACCGAAUAGGGGAGCCGGAGGGAAACCGAGUCUUAAUUGGGCGUUAAGUUGCAGGGUAUAGACCCGAAACCCGGUGAUCUAGCCAUGGGCAGGUUGAAGGUUGGGUAACACUAACUGGAGGACCGAACCGACUAAUGUUGAAAAAUUAGCGGAUGACCUGUGGCUGGGGGUGAAAGGCCAAUCAAACCGGGAGAUAGCUGGUUCUCCCCGAAAGCUAUUUAGGUAGCGCCUCGUGAAUUCAUCUCCGGGGGUAGAGCACUGUUUCGGCUAGGGGGCCAUCCCGGCUUACCAACCCGAUGCAAACUGCGAAUACCGGAGAAUGUUAUCACGGGAGACACACGGCGGGUGCUAACGUCCGUCGUGAAGAGGGAAACAACCCAGACCGCCAGCUAAGGUCCCAAAGUCAUGGUUAAGUGGGAAACGAUGUGGGAAGGCCCAGACAGCCAGGAUGUUGGCUUAGAAGCAGCCAUCAUUUAAAGAAAGCGUAAUAGCUCACUGGUCGAGUCGGCCUGCGCGGAAGAUGUAACGGGGCUAAACCAUGCACCGAAGCUGCGGCAGCGANNGUUGGGUAGGGGAGCGUUCUGUAAGCCUGUGAAGGUGUGUCGUGAGGCAUGCUGGAGGUAUCAGAAGUGCGAAUGCUGACAUAAGUAACGAUAAAGCGGGUGAAAAGCCCGCUCGCCGGAAGACCAAGGGUUCCUGUCCAACGUUAAUCGGGGCAGGGUGAGUCGACCCCUAAGGCGAGGCCGAAAGGCGUAGUCGAUGGGAAACGGGUUAAUAUUCCCGUACUUGGUGUUACUGCGAAGGGGGGACGGAGAAGGCUAUGUUGGCCGGGCGACGGUUGUCCCGGUUUAAGCGUGUAGGUGUGUGUUCCAGGUAAAUCCGGUUCACUUUAACACUGAGGCGUGAUGACGAGGCACUACGGUGCUGAAGCAACAAAUGCCCUGCUUCCAGGAAAAGCCUCUAAGCAUCAGGUAACAUCAAAUCGUACCCCAAACCGACACAGGUGGUCAGGUAGAGAAUACCAAGGCGCUUGAGAGAACUCGGGUGAAGGAACUAGGCAAAAUGGUGCCGUAACUUCGGGAGAAGGCACGCUGACACGUAGGUGAAGUGAUUUACUCAUGGAGCUGAAGUCAGUCGAAGAUACCAGCUGGCUGCAACUGUUUAUUAAAAACACAGCACUGUGCAAACACGAAAGUGGACGUAUACGGUGUGACGCCUGCCCGGUGCCGGAAGGUUAAUUGAUGGGGUCAGCGCAAGCGAAGCUCCUGAUCGAAGCCCCGGUAAACGGCGGCCGUAACUAUAACGGUCCUAAGGUAGCGAAAUUCCUUGUCGGGUAAGUUCCGACCUGCACGAAUGGCGUAAUGAUGGCCAGGCUGUCUCCACCCGAGACUCAGUGAAAUUGAACUCGCUGUGAAGAUGCAGUGUACCCGCGGCAAGACGGAAAGACCCCGUGAACCUUUACUAUAGCUUGACACUGAACAUUGAGCCUUGAUGUGUAGGAUAGGUGGGAGGCUUUGAAGCGUGGACGCCAGUCUGCGUGGAGCCGACCUUGAAAUACCACCCUUUAAUGUUUGAUGUUCUAACGUGGACCCGUAAUCCGGGUUGCGGACAGUGUCUGGUGGGUAGUUUGACUGGGGCGGUCUCCUCCUAAAGAGUAACGGAGGAGCACGAAGGUUGGCUAAUCCUGGUCGGACAUCAGGAGGUUAGUGCAAUGGCAUAAGCCAGCUUGACUGCGAGCGUGACGGCGCGAGCAGGUGCGAAAGCAGGUCAUAGUGAUCCGGUGGUUCUGAAUGGAAGGGCCAUCGCUCAACGGAUAAAAGGUACUCCGGGGAUAACAGGCUGAUACCGCCCAAGAGUUCAUAUCGACGGCGGUGUUUGGCACCUCGAUGUCGGCUCAUCACAUCCUGGGGCUGAAGUAGGUCCCAAGGGUAUGGCUGUUCGCCAUUUAAAGUGGUACGCGAGCUGGGUUUAGAACGUCGUGAGACAGUUCGGUCCCUAUCUGCCGUGGGCGCUGGAGAACUGAGGGGGGCUGCUCCUAGUACGAGAGGACCGGAGUGGACGCAUCACUGGUGUUCGGGUUGUCAUGCCAAUGGCACUGCCCGGUAGCUAAAUGCGGAAGAGAUAAGUGCUGAAAGCAUCUAAGCACGAAACUUGCCCCGAGAUGAGUUCUCCCUGAGACUUAGAGUCUCCUGAAGGAACGUUGAAGACGACGACGUUGAUAGGCCGGGUGUGUAAGCGCAGCGAUGCGUUGAGCUAACCGGUACUAAUGAAC
rnacentral:rRNA from 1 species